UUAAUAGAAAGUUAUGGUUCAUGAUUUAUUUACUGAAACAGGGAGAUGGGGUGGUAAGAAGAGAGGGUGAGGAAUGAGGAAGAGGAGAUCCUCCCGGCACUCAUGGUGGUCGCCCAGAUCCCAGCGGGGAUGGCAGUCCAACAUGCUCUGUGUUGUUCUAAAGGUGAGAUGCCACCACCAUGUUUUAGUAGCUCACAUCUAUCUGUACUCAUUAUACUGAACUUGUGUUAAAACAAGAAUACUGAUAACCUGGCCAUCUUUAUAAUAAGAAUAGGGUUGAUGUAUCUGCAGAAUAUAUGAAGAAUAUUGCAUGUGCAGAAUACAUAUAUGUUACUGCAUCUACAUUGAGACAGAACACUUUUGACACAUUUGUAAAGCAUCUACAUUGAUAACCUGGCCAUCACAGAAUACCUAAAUCUAACGAAUAUAUUAUAUGCCUUCAGUACCAGCUUAGGGGAAGUACAAUAUCGAAUCUCUUGCUCCACCCACUAGGUUCCAGCCGCAUUCCAUUGGUUAAUUUUAUUUAUAAUAGUGUUGAUAAGACAGUGUCACAUGAUACCUACAAGAAGUGAGUUUCUCUUAAUUACAUGAGAGUAAAGUGUGCGACUAGGCAGAAGCGUCUUACCUCGAUGCGAGGGACGCGUUACGUGUUAUAUGGAGCAGGGGCGCACCUCCCUGAUAAUGCAUACAUGCAGUAGUUUAGAUCUUCUAGGAGGAUUACAUCUUUGGGAGGAAGAGAUAAGAGAGAGGUUACAAUAUGAGAUAUGAGAUAAACAUUCAAACAAUCUACUCUAUCUAUCUCUGUCAUGCGCCGGUGUGGGCUCAAUGAACGUGACAUGUUUACAUGUUUGAUACCCUCCCUUAAUCACAACUUCAUCAAGUUGAGAUUAUGCUUGAAAUCCUCAAAGCUUCUGACAGGUAGGGCCUUUGUGAAUCCAUCUGCUAUCUGAUCUCUAGAAUGCACAAGUCGAAUGUCAAGUUGCUUUUGAGCCACUCUUUCUCUGACAAAAUGGAAAUCAAUAUCUAUAUGCUUUGUUCUGGCAUGGAAAACAGGGUUAGCAGAUAGGUAUGUGGCACCCAAAUUAUCACACCACAAACAGGGGGCCUUGGCACUUUUCACACCAAGCUCCUUUAGCAUGGACUGCACCCAUAUGAUCUCAUCUGUAGCAUUAGCUAAUGCUUUGUAUUCUUCCUCUGUACUUGAUCUAGAGACUGUGGCCUGUUUUCUUGCACACUAUGAAAUCAAGUUAGGGCCAAAGAAAACCACAAAGCCACCAGUGGAACGCCUAUCAUCUAGCCAUCCUGCCCAAUCAGAAUCUGAGAAGGCACUCACAAGUGUAGAUGAAGAUUUGCUGAGAUUGAGACCAAUAUUAAGAGUGUUUUUGACAUAUCUGACUAUGCGCUUUGCAGCAGUCCAAUGAACUGUAGUGGGUGCAUGGAGGAAUUGGCAAACUUUAUUGAUAGCAACUGAGAUAUCUGGUCUUGUAAGUGUUAAAUAUUGAAGUGCACCUACUAGACUUCUGUAUUUCGUGCUGUCAUCUUGGCUCAAGGGCUGCCCUUCUGUAAGAGAUAGCUUUUCAGAACUAGACAAUGGAGUGGGUGAGGGUUUACAACCUUGUAAGCCAGCUUUCUUCACCAAGUCUGUUGCAUACUUUUCUUGGGAGAGAUGAAUACCAUUCUCAUGCUUCUUUACUUCUAUGCCCAAAAAGUAAUGCAACUCUCCAAGAUCCUUGAGAGCAAACUCUGCACUGAGAUCUUUCAAAAGUUCUGUGACAGCCUCAUCGGAUGAACUUGUAACAAUAAUAUCAUCAACAUAUAUGAGAACAAAUAUGUGUGUGUUGCAUUUAUUGUAGAUGAACAAUGAGGUGUCAGACUUAGACGGGACAAAACCAAGUGUUUGCAUUUUUUGACCGAGUCGUGAAUACCACGCCCUAGGAGCUUGCUUCAACCCAUAUAAUGCCUUAUCAAGUUUGCACAUGUGAGAAGGUGCAUUCUUGUUUUCAAACCCAGGAGGUUGUUUCAUGUACACUUCCUCUUCGAGAACACCAUGAAGAAAUGCGUUCUGUACGUCAAGUUGUCUGAGACUCCAGCCUCUGGAAAUUGCAAUAGACAACACGAGAUGAAUGGUGGCAGCUUUUACAACGGGACUAAAGGUGCCCUCGUAAUCUAUGCCAUACCGUUGUUUAAAACCCUUUGCCACAAGUCUUGCUUUGUAGCGAUCUAUGGUUCCAUCGGAUUUUCUCUUGAUCCUAAAUACCCAUUUACAAUCAAUAAGAUUUUUACCUUUUUGUGGGGGAACCAAGUGCCAGGUUUUAUUUCUUUUCAGAGCCAUGUAUUCUUCAUUCAUGGCUUUUCUCCAAUGUUCAUCACCAAGUGCUUCUUCAAGUGUAUAAGGUUCACCUGGUUCACCUGUUGAACAAAUCAUACCAUAUUUUGUUACAUGUUUAUAAUCAACAGGUUGAAUUACCCCUUUUUGCAGCCGUGUACGCCAUGGUGACUGCACAGAGGAUCUCGUGCUACGUACAGGAGUUUCUGCACGCGCCGAUCCCAAGGAGGAUUCGGGGGCAGCAGCGGUGUCCAGCGGCGGCAGAUCUUCUGUGGCAGGGGACGAAGCAGCGACGCGCACGGGCGAAGCAGCAGGCGCAGAAGAUCUGGGCUCAUCAUUACCCGUGGCCCCCCUGGCGCCAGCAGCGGAGUCCGCGCCAGCAGUGGUUGGGCCCGCGCCGGUCGGGCGAUGCAGGUCGCGCCGCUUGUAGCAGACCGGUUGGACCGGAAAGCGGGCGCGCGUCGCUCCAGUCGGGGGCAGCCACGCGGUUGAGCGGGGUUGGUGCAGGGCGAGGGGCGCGGCGUCAGGCGCAGGAGCGGCCCGGUCGGGCGCAACCGAGACGCGGGCGAGCGCUGACUCCGAGGCAGAUCCGCGCAGCCUGUCGUCAGACGCAGAUCCCAGGGUUGAUUCUGUCGGCCCUGCACGCACCGAUCUCGAGGGGGAUUUGUUCCCCGAGCUGGGACACAUGAAAUAUUGUGCUGUAGCACCGUUUUCUUCAGGAUUUUCACCGAUUCCUUUCGAGUUUCCAUUCCCAGAUGCAUUUGCACUAUCUCCUGUAUCAUCACACAACUCAUGCAGCAUGGUGAGCGGGUUAGUCAUCAUAGAAUCAACACAUUUAUCAUCCCUUGAAUCAAGGCCAGUGAGAGUGGAUGGGAGAAGAAGAAUUACUUUGCGAAGCAAGGCACCGGCAUUUGGGUGGAGGUCAGAAAACGGAAACUUGGUCUCAUCAAAAACUACAUCGCGAGAAAUGUAGACACGACCGGAGGAGACAUCAAGACACUUGACCCCCUUGUGUUGAGCACUAUACCCAAGGAACACGCACUGUUUGGAGCGAAACAUGAGCUUUCUAGCAUUGUAAGGACGGAGAUUGGGCCAACAUGCACAGCCGAAAACACGUAGAGAAGUGUAGUCUAGUUUGACAUGAAGAAGUCUUUCAAUGGGAGUUUCAUGAUUUAUAACACGGCUAGGAAGCAUAUUAAUGAUAUGAACAGCCAUGAGAAAAUCUUCAUCCCAGAAUUUAAGGGGCAUGGAAGCACCAGCUAGGAGGGCUAGACCAACCUCAACGAUGUGUCUAUGCUUACGUUCGGCUGACCCAUUUUGCUAGUGAGAACGAGGGCAUGACACGUGAUGUGAUAUGCCAAAUGUUUGGAAAAAGGAAUUGAGUUUCUCAUACUCCCCCAGUCGGAUUGGACGGCAAUAAUCUUGCGGUCAAACCUGCGUUCAACAAGUGCUUGGAAAAUUUGAAAAUCUUGAAAGACUUCGGACCUCUUCUUGAGAAGAUAAAUCCACGAGAAUCUUCUAUAGUCAUCAAUAAAGCUAACGUAAUAUGUGUAUCUACCAACCGAGCUAGGAGCAGGGCCCCAAACAUCAGAAAAUAUUAAUUGCAAAGGUUGAGUAGAAACACUAGUUGAUAUGGGAUAUGGUAACUGAUGACAUUUUGCUCUUUGGCAAGAAUCAAAAAUAGUCUCAAUGUUGCGCUCACCAACAAACGGGAGCUUAUUUUUCUUAAGCAAACUUUCAACUAAGGAAAAAGAGGCAUGUCCUAAACGAUCGUGCCAUCAUGUGGACGAGAGCUUGAUAGCACCACAAGCUUAUUUAUUUGAUCUUCGAAACUCCGAAAUCAACGGGUGAAGCCCUUGAACGCAUCUACCUCGAUAGAGAAUUCUCCUCGUGGCCUGAUCCUUAACCAAGAAGAAAAAGGGGUGAAACUCAAUGAAAACAUGAUUAUCAAUGGUGAUGCGAUGAACGGAGAGAAGAUUCUUAUUGGCACUGGGAACAUGCAAGAUUUUCCGAAGAUGAAUUUUGCGGGAAGGGGUAUGCAUAACUGAGUGACCUAUGUGACGUAUGCUCAUACCUUCACCGCUGGCUGUAUGGAUCUGAUCCUUCCCAUGAUAUUUCUCACCAAGAGUUACCUUCUCCAGCUCGCCCGUGAGAUGGUUGGUGGCGCCACUAUCGAGAUACCAGUUGGUAUCCACGCCAUAGGAGCCAUCGGCAGCCGCCGCCACCUUGUCAUCUUCUUCAGAUGUCGCCUCGUCCUCAUCAAACCGGUACCAAUAGUCUUUGGCUGUGUGGCCAGGUUUCCCACAGAUUUGACAGCGAACGGCGUCAGGACGAGACCGGCCAGAUCCACUGCGCCGCCCCCUGUUGCUGGUGGAGUUGGGACGACCCGAGUGUGAACCGGAGCCAGUGGCGUUGCUGGGGCCGCCUUGCUUGCCCUUGGGACGAGGAGGACCGCGGUGGCGACCUGAGUAGCCACCACGCCCGCGGGUGGCCGCGUUCGCAGAUGACUUGAAGCCGCCGCCGGAGUUCUGGAAGUGGGCCACGGGCUGAUCGAAGUUGCUGAGCAUGGCGAAGAGCUCGUCGAGGGUGACGGGCGUGAUGCGUGCGUCGAGAGCUGAGGCCAGGGGCUGGUAGUCCAUGUCCAGCCCGUGCAGGAUGGAGAUGAGCUCGUCAUCCUGGAUGGGUUUGCCCGCCGCGGCGAGUUCAUCGGCAAGCCCGCGCAUGAAGGCGAAGCAGGCAGCGAGGGACCGGUUUCCCUUUUGAGCGUUGAUGAGGGCGGUGCUGAUGUUGUUGACGCGGCUCAAGGAUUGCGACGAGAACAUGCCUGCCAGCGCCGACCAGAGGCCGUGCGCGGUGGUGAUCGCGGUCACCGUGAUCAGCACCUCUUUGGAGAGGUUGCUGAGGAGGUAGCCGAGCACCUGCUGGUCGUCCCUGACCCGGAUGGGGUGGAGAGGGUUGGGCUCGGACGUUUCCUUCCCAUCCUUGUCUUUGGUGACAAGAAGGGGCGCGGGUUCGGGCAUGGUGCCAUCGGCAUAGCCGAAGAGACCUGCCCCUCUCAGCUGGGGCGUGAUCUGAGUACGCCAGAGCAUGUAGUUCGUGCGAGAGAGUUUCUCCGGGACCUGGCCACUGAGGCUUGCGUGGGAGGUGGCGGAGGAAGACAUGGAGGCUAGCGCUACUGGAUUUCUGGAACCCUAGAUGAGAUUGGAAGAGGAGGCUCUGAUUACCAUGUGCGACUAGGUGGAAGCGUCUUACCUCGAUGUGAGGGACGCGUUACGUGUUAUAUGGAGCAGGGGCGCACCUCCCUGAUAACGCAUACAUGCGGUAGUUUAGAUCUUCUAGGAAGAUUACAUCUUGGGGAGGAAGAGAUAAGAGAGAGGUCACAAUAUGAGAUAUGAGAUAAACAUUCAAACAACCUACUCUAUCUAUCUCUAUCAUGCGCCGGUGUGGGCUCAAUGAACGUGACAUGUUUACAUGUUUGACAUAAAGAACAGAUGACCGGAUACAUGGUUGAGUAUGGUUGUAAUCAAACUGCAUAUUCACUUGUGCUUUUAAAACAGGAAAACAUGUUAAUUCUUUUCUCGAGUUACUCUACAAAAUAGUCAUCUUGAUGUGUGUAUUGAUAUCUCCGGUUCUACAUUAGAGGAUUAAAUGUAUGUCUGUUACACAACGACUACUGCUUCACAACCCCCUCUUUUUAUUCACUCUACUGCUUUAGGUGUGUGUUAUUGCAUCAAUUGGUUACAUCCUGUGGUCUUGGUGUCAUAUUUAUAUUGGUUUUAUAUGGUAUUUUUUAUAUAAUAUACUGGGUAAGCAUGCAUUUUCCUCAUGCGGAGCAUACUUGCAUAGAUGUGGUUUUGUAGAAUUCAUUUUGUUUUCACUGAGAAAACCACAUACUGCUGGAGAAGUAUUUAUUUAUCCUCUUACUUUACAUGUUCUUUUAUUGUCGUGUAAACUGCUAGCCGAGCUACACUGCGGACUACAGAGUUGAUCUGAAUGUCUGCUAUUCUAAGGUUCAAUAUAUGAUUCUUUCUGUCAGCGUUCUUCCUUGGAAACAAAAUGAUCAAAUCAUCUUCUUGGGUAUUUACUUCUCUUUCUCAUGUUAAGUUAGCAUUUUGGCGUUGUGUAUUUUCAGAUUGUGCUCCCACUAACUUUUUUAGCCCCUGUGCUAAAGGUGCAUGUGUGGCUUGAUUAUGAAAUUAUGGUUAUGAACACAAAGCUAAUUGGUACUCUGUUCUACACUACUCUCCCUUGGAACAUGAUCUCGCAAAAGAGAGGAAGCCAAACAUAGGUACAAGUGUUUUCCUUCGCCCAAUCCAAUGUAUUUUUCUUAGGGCCGUUAAUACAUCAUGUAACCCCACAUAAAUGGUUGGGAACCAGACUAAUUUAAUUUAUUUUCAAUACCCUCUCCAAAAUAUUGCGGAUGCAUGUAUUAGGUAGGAUUUAUAAGAGUUGUUAUGUAUGUGUUCUGAAUCCGCCAAUGUCUUCAAUUUGCAGUUCUGUCAUAUUUCUUAGUUCAAGCCCCUGAGUUAAUGCUUUUAAAUUUAUGAACUCAAAUAGUUCAAUAUUCAGUAAAAAUGCACGAUGAUCUUUACAGAUUAUCUAUUUUUAUGUGGGACUUCUAAGAUGAUAGAUUAACAAUCAAUAAUGUGCACUAAUUACAUUUCUCUUUUUAUCACUAUAUUUUAUUAAUCUUUGGUAUCUACAAAAUGUAUGCAUACUGAUAUCAUAGUGUGGUCUGAAUCGGGUGUGCUGCUUCUACUUGCAUAAAAGCUGAUAUUGCCAUGAUCCUUAGUCAUGUCUUCUUAAAAUAAAGGGAUUUUGCAUGGACAGAUGGAACCAAAAAUCUUCGGAACCUGACAGCAUUCAUUUUUUUCUCCUGGGUGCUGCUAGAUCAUGUGUAACUAAAUGUUCUUUUCCAUUUAAGGUAAUAAAAUAUCCACCUGCAUUCAUGCUAGUGUUAGCAUUGCUGAAAGAAAGAAAAAGGCCCGCUUGAUUCUAGCAGCCCUGGUUAAUAUGGCCAAACUGACGUGGGUGGGAAAGGGUGCCUGAUCCUUUUAUGUUACAAAAUUAUAGACUUAUUCAGUGGUAACACGCAAGUGGUGGCUGGCCCUUUUCUAUGUUGUUAGCUUUAGAAAAUUGUAGAAGCUACCUUAGGCACAUGUACCUUUCAUAGGAGGAAUUGUGCCCUUGCAAUUGUUAUAUAUCACUGCCUUUUAGUCCCGUUCCCAAAAAGUAUGCAUUGAUGCUAGGUCCCUUUCUACAAUAUUAUAUCUACAUGAUUAUAUAAUCUCUUGUAUUGCUAUAUUUUUUGCAGGGGAACCAUGCCCAUGCAACGGUACUGAACAAAGUUGUGCACGUGGUCGUGGACACUCUACGCGAAAGAAUUUGUAUAAAUAUACAAUGCUCUUUUUGAAGCCUCCUGGGAUGAUAUUGGAAGGAACUCGAGCGGAAGGCCGCCGGACAUGGAAGAAAUGAGCCCAAGCCCAAUGUAACUUUUCUCUCUCUGAAGCAAUGCCUAUUUAUUGCUUUUGUGUUGGUACUUUCAGUUCUUUGAGAUUCUUAUGUGUGCAAAAACAUCGGUGAUGUGGCAGAGAAGGUGAAGUGUAGCAGCAACGUGAAAGUAUGUACAUAACAAUUUGCCUAACAAAUGAGAAUGUCUAGGAACUGAAAAGAGUUCUAACAUUUUGCUUUAUGUCCAUUGCACUACAUACGAGAAUAAAGAUGCAUUUGGUUACAAAUACUCUUCUGAUUACUAUGUGUAAAAGUAAUUGUUGGUUAUACUAAAAAUAUGAGCUAAUUUCUUCGUUAUCUACUCACCCAUGGUAGUGUAGGUUCGUGUUCUUGGAUUUUGUUUCAUUGUUUUUCUUUUUACCUUUUGGUGAGCCGGUGAGCUAAUUUGCUAUUUUCCUCUUGGUCUAUUGCAGCAAUUGGAUGCUUCAGUGGAUUUGAAUGGGGUUCAUUGUAGGCGAGUGCUUGAAUUUGCGGCCUCACAGGCAUCAUUAGCUUCCCUUAUCCCACACAAGUAUUCUUCCUGAGAACUAUGCUUAGAUAGCUGAAUGUAUUAUUGUGAACUACUAAACCUUUGCACUUUUGUUGUAACAUACUGAACAUUUGCACCAUUGCUUUUCAUUGUAUAAAUGUAUGAAAUAAAAAAAUGUCUCAUACCAGGUUGGAUAUUGCGGGGGAGGGUGGGGUGCGGCAAGCCGCACUUCCUAUCUAGUGGGUAUGAUGGAAGCACAACGGAGGGCCCCGUUUGUCCAUCGAGGCGGCACUCUGCUCCCGUCGCCGACACCACCACAAGCUGUCACCAAUUGAUGUGGCACCACCAACAACCAUACCGCGAGUACGCAAUUACGCAAGUAUUCGAGGAGUACACGAAGGCUGAUGUACGCAAUAGCUACGGACGUCAUUCAAUUGCUGGCUCAAUAGUUACAAGAUUAUUUCCGAUGCCUUGUACGCCUAUGUCUUAUCAAAUUCAAAUCCUCUUUGAACAGAGCCACGACAACUUUUUGCAUGAAAUGGGAUUCUAAGUUAGAGGUGAAUCGUGCAAUGAGUUAUUCAUCAGGGAAGUCUUGCGCCUUAUAAAGAGUUGUGUGGUAUACAGCGGCAUGAAAUCAUUGCUCCUCCGGUAGCGCACUACCGGAAUUGCCUCCUAUGCCGACGGCCAGGGCCGUCGGCAUAGCCCUGAGUCCCGUAGGGACAGACCUAUGCCGACGGCCCCCGUUGGCAACAUAUACGUCGGCACAGCCAGGGAGGCCGUCGGCAUAGAAAAGCCGUCGGGAUAUAUGCUACGCCGACGGGGCCGUACAUCUAUGCCGACGGCCCCGGCCGUCGGCAACGAUCGUGCCUAACGGCAGCCGCCGUCAAAAGUUUGCCCAACGACAGGUCGCCACGUGGCACCCCUAUGCCGUCGGCUUAGUCAAAAACUACGCCGACGGCGAGUCCGUCGCCAUAGGUUUGCCACGUGGCGACCAGGCGCUGCUCGUGGACCAGGGCUAUGCCGACGGCUAGGCCGUCGACAUACUCCUUCAUAUAGAGCUCCCAGUAGCUGACACGUGGGACCUAUGCCGACGGCCUAGCCGUCGGCUUAGUUAAAAAACUGUCCCGAUGGCUAGGCCGUCGGCAUAGGUGCCACGUGUCAGCUACUGGGAGCUCACGCCAGCCCUAUGCCGACGGCAUAGUUUGCUUUUGAUUUUUUUUUUCCUUUUUUCUGUUUGUUUUCAAAUCAAUUCAGUUCAAAUAAGAGCACAUAUCAGCAGAUAUAUAUAAUGGAAUAGACAUAUAGAACACAACGAAUAUAAGCAUAAGCAUCAUCACAACAAUAAUUGCAUAAGCAUCAUCACACACAAGUCUCUAAAUGAUCGUCAUCACAACCAACAUAAGCAUAAGCAUAUAGAAAAGCACACAAGUCAUCUAAAUGAUCAUCACCACACACAAGUCAUCUGAAGCAUCAUCACCACACACAAGGCUUAAGCGCCAGGACGUCGAGCACCGCGGAGGUCGUCACCACCAAGACCGCCGAAGCCCAUGUCGUUAGUGCUAGCGGUAGCGCUACCGCCAAGACCGCCUCCACCUCCGCCUCCGUGGAUCGGAGUGGUCGGGCUCAGUGUCUCCGGAGUGCUGCGAAGACCACCGCCAACGGUAGAUCCACCUGUGCCCUGGAUGUUGAAAAGACAUAUUAACGGGAUAUAUGAUUGUGUUGAAAGGCAUGACAUGCUUUGGGUGAAUAGAUUGGGGAUGAACUAACCAGCGAGGGGCCAGCGUUCUGUGCCACAAACUUCUCAAAGGUCAGCAGCACUAGUUGAGCUGGAGGGCAUUGUGCUGGUUGCAACUGAGGACACAUGUCGGCCGCCAUUUCCUGAAAAGCCUGCUGCAUCUGGCGAUCCCUCUGCACUUGGUGUUCAUAAAGUUAUGGUUCAUGAUUUAUUUACUGAAACAGGGAGAUGGGGUGGUAAGAAGAGAGGGUGAGGAAUGAGGAAGAGGAGAUCCUCCCGGCACUCAUGGUGGUCGCCCAGAUCCCAGCGGGGAUGGCAGUCCAACAUGCUCUGUGUUGUUCUAAAGGUGAGAUGCCACCACCAUGUUUUAGUAGCUCACAUCUAUCUGUACUUAUUAUACUGAACUUAUGUUAAAACAAGAAUACUGAUAACCUGGCCAUCUUUAUAAUAAGAAUAGGGUUGAUGUAUCUGCAGAAUAUAUGAAGAAUACUGCAUGUGCAGAAUACAUAUAUGUUACUGCAUCUACAUUGAGACAGAACACUUUUGACACAUUUGUAAAGAAUCUACAUUGAUAACUUGGCCAUCACAGAAUACCUAAAUCUGACGAAUAUAUUAUAUGCCUUCAGUACCAGCUUAGGGGAAGUACAAUAUCGAAUCUCUUGCUCCACCCACUAGGUUCCAGCCCCAUUCCAUUGGUUAAUUUUAUUUAUAAUAGUGUUGAUAAGACAGUGUCACAUGAUACCUACAAGAAGUGAGUUUCUCUUAAUUACAUGAGAGUAAAG
rnacentral:lncRNA from 1 species